AGCGAACGCUGGCGGCAGGCCUAACACAUGCAAGUCGAACGAACCUUUCGGGGUUAGUGGCGGACGGGUGAGUAACACGUGGGAACGUGCCUUUAGGUUCGGAAUAACUCAGGGAAACUUGUGCUAAUACCGAAUGUGCCCUUCGGGGGAAAGAUUAAUCGCCUUUAGAGCGGCCCGCGUCUGAUUAGCUAGUUGGUUGAGGUAAUGGCUCACCAAGGCGACGAUCAGUAGCUGGUCUGAGAGGAUGAUCAGCCACAUUGGGACUGAGACACGGCUCAAACUCCUACGGGAGGCAGCAGUGGGGAAUCUUGCGCAAUGGGCGAAAGCCUGACGCAGCCAUGCCGCGUGAAUGAUGAAGGUCUUAGGAUUGUAAAAUUCUUUCACCGGGGACGAUAAUGACGGUACCCGGAGAAGAAGCCCCGGCUAACUUCGUG
rnacentral:rRNA from 1 species